CUAGCUACAGGCUUCACACAUGCAAGUUCGAGGGGCAGCACGGUCUUAGCUUCGCUAAUGCCGACGGCGAACCGGCGUACGGGUUGAGUAACACGUAUCCAACCUGCCGUCUACUCUUGGACAGCCUUCUGAAAGGAAGAUUAAUACAAGAUGGCAUCAUGAGUCCGCAUGUUCACAUGAUUAAAGGUAUUCCGGUAGACGAUGGGGAUGCGUUCCAUUAGAUAGUAGGCGGGGUAACGGCCCACCUAGUCUUCGAUGGAUAGGGGUUCUGAGAGGAAGGUCCCCCACAUUGGAACUGAGACGCGGUCCAAACUCCUACGGGAGGCAGCAGUGAGGAAUAUUGGUCAAUGGGCGAGAGCCUGAACCAGCCAAGUAGCGUGAGGGAUGACUGCCCUAUGGGUUGUAAACUUCUUUUAUAAAGGAAUAAAGUCGGGUAUGGAUACCCGUUUGCAUGUACUUUAUGAAUAAGGAUCGGCUAACUCCGUGCCCAGCAGCCGCGGUAAUACGGAGGAUCCGAGCGUUAUCCGGAUUUAUUGGGUUUAAAGGGAGCGUAGAUGGAUGUUUAAGUCAGUUGUGAAAGUUUGCGGCUCAACCGUAAAAUUGCAGUUGAUACUGGAUAUCUUGAGUGCAGUUGAGGCAGGCGGAAUUCGUGGUGUAGCGGUGAAAUGCUUAGAUAUCACGAAGAACUCCGAUUGCGAAGGCAGCCUGCUAAGCUGCAACUGACAUUGAGGCUCGAAAGUGUGGGUAUCAAACAGGAUUAGAUACCCUGGUAGUCCACACGGUAAACGAUGAAUACUCGCUGUUUGCGAUAUACUGCAAGCGGCCAAGCGAAAGCGUUAAGUAUUCCACCUGGGGAGUACGCCGGCAACGGUGAAACUCAAAGGAAUUGACGGGGGCCCGCGCAAGCGGAGGAACAUGUGGUUUAAUUCGAUGAUACGCGAGGAACCUUACCCGGGCUUAAAUUGCAGAUGAAUUACGGUGAAAGCCGUAAGCCGCAAGGCAUCUGUGAAGGUGCUGCAUGGUUGUCGUCAGCUCGUGCCGUGAGGUGUCGGCUUAAGUGCCAUAACGAGCGCAACCCUUGUUGUCAGUUACUAACAGGUUCCGCUGAGGACUCUGACAAGACUGCCAUCGUAAGAUGUGAGGAAGGUGGGGAUGACGUCAAAUCAGCACGGCCCUUACGUCCGGGGCUACACACGUGUUACAAUGGGGGGUACAGAGGGCCGCAACCACGCGAGUGGAUGCCAAUCCCCAAAACCUCUCUCAGUUCGGACUGGAGUCUGCGACCCGACUCCACGAAGCUGGAUUCGCUAGUAAUCGCGCUUCAGCCUCGGCGCGGUGAAUACGUUCCCGGGCCU
rnacentral:rRNA from 1 species